UUAAAAGAAAAAAUAUCUUGCUGCUCUCUUAGGAGUACUGAAAAUCUCCCUGCUCCUCCUGCUCUGUGGCAGAAGAUACUGCAUUAAGAUCUGUACAAGGCUUUGACAUAAGCUUUUGAACUUCCUGCAAGGCUUGUUAUGGCAAAUUGAGAUUGAUGACAAAGUGCAACAUUUUGAAAUUAUUAAAGGCAGAAAACUCCCUCUGAACUCUGUGUGUGUUGGAAACAGGCUCAUAAGCAUCUUGCUUCAUUCUACUCCAGCAUCAUCAUCACCUCUUGAUUGAGGCGUGGAUUUUCAUUCUGUCCUUGCUGAUUAAGACCAGUGAAUCAUUCUCGGCAGAAGUUAAGCUAAAAUAUUUAUUGGUGUAAGUCUUUUUGUGCCACCUGUCUUCAAGUAAGUGGCUUCUUAUUGCUGUUAAACCUUCUAGGAUAUGAAGUUUCUGUAGGUGACCUUCUCCAGGACUCCUCAGCCUUACCAACCUCUUUUCCAUCUACACUCAAAUGGUUGACCCACCACCAAAGCUCGGAGGGGCCAAACCUCCCAAGAUCAUCUUCCCAGCCACUCUGUGUGGUGACACCUUGGCAUCAUACAUGGAGAAGCUGUUUACAGGAGCCCUUAUGGCUGCCCAGAGACCUCCACCAUGUCCCAGUUAUCCUGCUGUCUCGUCGCUGCCUACGACCCAGACAACUGAUGGCUGGCUCAGUGCCACGCUGCUGACUCAGCAGGUUCCCACCCAGUACCGCCCAUACAGCGACCAUGGCCACAGCAAACGUAUUCAGCCAGCAGCAGCACGAGCCGAUGUGCUUGCUGGUUAAUAUGCAAGGGAAAGGAGUCACAGAUAAACUCAUUGCACACAUCCAUUACGUGAGAGAAGCAUCAAUAUUUCUGCAAAUCCAACAGGGAAUUUAUUCAUCUCAGCCUCCAGCAAUGGUGAAUUAUCCUGGUGACUGGUGCAAUUUGGAAGCAUAUACAACCAUAAUGAGGAAGUACCGUGGCUUCCCUUGAAGUAAUAGAGUGGUUAUUGCUGAUAGUUACUGCCUUUGUGAAGUAUUAACGCAUGGUUAUAGUGCAGUCAUGUAGCAAAAUUAUAGGGGCCUGUAGACUGUUACUUAGCAACACUUGCUAAUGUUGAGGUGGUAAUGAAGAAAUGGAGUAAAAGAAAUACAGAGUAUAUUGGAGUCAUAAAGUAAACUGUGGUGUGACUUGAGAAAGCUGUUCCGAAGAUAAAGAUGUUGUCUGUUUCUCCUUCUGCUAUAUGAAUAUGGUAGAAGAACUUAAGAGCUGAUUUGAAGCAACACAUUUGAAAUAUCUGAGUAACAGAAAUAAGGAUUACGAUAUUUUUUUUUCAUCAUUGUUGCUGCCUGAGAAAAGCAUCAGAAUUGCUGGGCUUUUGAAGAUACUCUCCUUGUCAUUUCAAACCCAUCCUGAGGCACUAGCUGGCCAAUUAAAAUAAUCUUUCCUUUGGAGAGCUAGCAUUUGUCAGAGUUAAGAAUGAAGGCUUCUUUCUACUACAUCUAUUUUCCCCAUUCAUUCAUUUACAUAACUCCCUUCACUGUUAAUCAAGUGCCUGCAGGCAUAUCUCAAGAAAAAGGUAAGGCCAUAAAAAUAAAGGCAGACAUUUCUAGUUAUAGAUGAACCUUCCACAUGUUGCAGAUCUGUCUCAGACACUUAUCUUGGUUUAUCUCCACCUGUUUAAAUUGGAAAAUUCACAAAAAUCCAUCUCCCAUGAGAUUUCCAAGAUUUCUUGAUUUCAUUUGGGUCAGAACUGCCACAAGAGAUACAUUUCUCAGAGUACUUCUGAGCUGCUGCCAGGAACAGGGAGUGCUGGACUGUGCCACUUUAAAAAAAAAAAAAAAAAAAAAAAAGUUUUCUUUGAAAAGUCACCAAAUUUUAUAAGCUUUUAAAAAAAGAAUUGGCCUAGUUCAGUCUCGGGUAUGAUUAAAAGAGCUGCACUGAUUUAUUGGUGUCAAACAAAGUAUGUUUGGGUACAACAUUAUUUUGUAAUGGAAAAAGUAUCAGUGGAUGCACUGCCUAUCAGCACUGCUUGGACUGGAUGAGGACCGAGCCUUAAGUUAUAAGAGUCUUUAAUACUGGAGAAAAGGAAGACUGAUAAAAAUAUUGUAACUAGAAGGCCAUCUCUUAGUCUCUCAGAUAAAGGUAGCAGUGAAGUCAACCUCAACAACAUCUGUGGUUCUGCUGAUUAAAUAAUGGAUGAUAUUUGCCUGCUUUGCACCUCACUCUGGCCCUGCAAAGCAAAUGGAAACAUUUUCUCAUUCCUAUCCCACCAGGAGUGCAGAUCUAUGAAUAUGGAGUGAUGAUUUGGGGAAUGUUUCACAGGAGAAACUGUAUACAUUAAUUUAAUAAAAAAAAUAAUAUUCUACAGUUGGUAACAGAGUUGCUUCCUGCUGGCCUUUAAUUUUGCACUUUUUCUUUUGUCCUUGUAAAUGACAAAGUAAUAUUAUUUUGACUAAGUUCUUGUUCUUGC